rnacentral:rRNA from 1 species
AUUGAACGCUGGCGGCAGGCCUAACACAUGCAAGUCGAGCGGUUGAUGGGAGCUUGCUCCCUGAUUCAGCGGCGGACGGGUGAGUAAUGCCUAGGAAUCUGCCUAUUAGUGGGGGACAACGUUUCGAAAGGAACGCUAAUACCGCAUACGUCCUACGGGAGAAAGCAGGGGACCUUCGGGCCUUGCGCUAAUAGAUGAGCCUAGGUCGGAUUAGCUUGUUGGUGAGGUAAUGGCUCACCAAGGCGACGAUCCGUAACUGGUCUGAGAGGAUGAUCAGUCACACUGGAACUGAGACACGGUCCAGACUCCUACGGGAGGCAGCAGUGGGGAAUAUUGGACAAUGGGCGAAAGCCUGAUCCAGCCAUGCCGCGUGUGUGAAGAAGGUCUUCGGAUUGUAAAGCACUUUAAGUUGGGAGGAAGGGUUGUAGAUUAAUACUCUGCAAUUUUGACGUUACCGACAGAAUAAGCACCGGCUAACUCUGUGCCAGCAGCCGCGGUAAAAC